rnacentral:lncRNA from 7 species
GCAUUUUGCCUGGAAAUCCCUGCACAGCUAAAGAUUGAAAGAUUUGAAAGACCUUACAGGCCUUUCAAAGAUUCCCUCUGCCAAAUCUAGGCUUAAAUGCAAAAAACAUGUACUUGAGAAUCCUAGGAAGAACUUGAGAUGUCAAUAGAAGAAAAAGGUCCUUCUCAACAUGGAUUUCUUUUUUUUGUUUAUUUUGGGGGGAAACAAAAGUGCUGUAUACAGAAGAACAUCUUAAAUUUGAGGAAACAGAGGCACAGUGCAUGGAAGCAACCAACAACGGAUAGCAGGCAACAUAAACAGCUGAAAGGAGAACAAAAGCUUCCAGUGUCCCAUGUGUGUGAUCUCAACAUUGAGUCAAUCUGGCAACUGCUGAGGAAGAACGUUCCAGAGCCCUGUAAUGAAGUUUCCCGCUUGAAACACGUCACCGUCUUUUUCCAAGAUAUGGGAGAUGUUGAACUGAGUGACUAAUGUAAAGGAUUGAAAGUGACAGGAAACUUAAGAAAGGAUAUGUGAACAACCAAAUAGUGAAAUACUAACAUAAGUCAUAAACUGUAGCAUUUUUUCUUUUAACCUACUAAAAUGACAAAAUCAUAGAAUUAAGAAACCUAAGUAAACCAAUUAUAUACUGUAUUGAAAUUGAGCUGGCUUUGAAUACAAAAAAAAUAAAGUGUAUAGUGGUCUCUAAUGAGAUAAAUGUUACAAAUUUAAAUUAUUUGUGGGAAGAUAUAUCUAUAAUUUCUUAAUAAGUAUUCAAAUAAAUAAAAUACUCCACCACCCCCUCUUCCCUCCUUGCCUUUCCCUUCCCUGUCUCAUCUGUGCAGUUCCCACAAAUAGGUGCAAACUCUCAAUAGCAUCUGGUUGCUGUAAAUGUAGAUGAAAAUCAGAUAAUGAAGUAUCAAUCUCCAGACUUCUGAGCAUUGGUAAGAACAAUAGGGUUGGCCUUCCAAGGAAUGUGAUCCUGAAAUUAUAGAUGUAUAAUAAUAUUGGUAUUUUGCUUGUGUAAGGAUGGAGCCAGGAACAAUUUUUUUUUACUGUAUUUCAGAGAAUUUCGUAUUGUUUAUGUACUUCAAGCUUGCAUUUAGUCUGUAUUGCUGAUGUUGAUCUACAAGGAGGCUUACUUUACAGGAUGGAUCCAAGUGAAAUAUAUGAGCUCUGCUGUUGAGUUGUAUGUUGUAUGGAGUUGUAUGCAUGUUAUUGUGUUUUGCAAAAAAACAAACCCUUAUUUGUCAUUGUGAGACUGCUUUCAAUUCAUAAUUUACUAAUUUUAGUAGACAUCACAUAUUUUGGAAUAAACAUUUGUUU